AACGAACGCUGGCGGCAUGCCUAACACAUGCAAGUCGAACGAAGCCUUCGGGCUUAGUGGCGCACGGGUGCGUAACGCGUGGGAAUCUGCCCUUUGGUUCGGAAUAACAGUUGGAAACGACUGCUAAUACCGGAUGAUGACGAAAGUCCAAAGAUUUAUCGCCAGAGGAUGAGCCCGCGUAGGAUUAGCUAGUUGGUGUGGUAAAGGCGCACCAAGGCGACGAUCCUUAGCUGGUCUGAGAGGAUGAUCAGCCACACUGGGACUGAGACACGGCCCAGACUCCUACGGGAGGCAGCAGUGGGGAAUAUUGGACAAUGGGCGAAAGCCUGAUCCAGCAAUGCCGCGUGAGUGAUGAAGGCCCUAGGGUUGUAAAGCUCUUUUACCCGGGAUGAUAAUGACAGUACCGGGAGAAUAAGCCCCGGCUAACUCCGUGCCAGCCGCCGUAAUAC
rnacentral:rRNA from 1 species